rnacentral:rRNA from 1 species
UACAGAGGUCUCAAGCGUUGUUCGGAUUCAUUGGGCGUAAAGGGUGUGUAGGUGGCGCCGUAAGUCGGGUGUGAAAUUUCGGAGCUUAACUCCGAAACUGCAUUCGAUACUGCGGUGCUUGAGGACUGGAGGGGAGACUGGAAUUCAUGGUGUAGCAGUGAAAUGCGUAGAGAUCAUGAGGAAGACCAGUGGCGAAGGCGGGUCUCUGGACAGUUCCUGACGCUGAGACACGAAGGCCAGGGGAGCAAACGGG